rnacentral:rRNA from 1 species
AACGAACGCUGGCGGCGUGCCUAACACAUGCAAGUCGAGCGCCCAUGCGCGGGUGCGGCGGACGGGUGAGUAACCCGUGGGGAUAUGCCCUUCUCUACGGCCUAGCCUCGGGAAACUGAUAGUAAUACCGUAUACGCCCUGCGGGGGGAAGAUUUCUCGGGGUAGGAUUAGGCCGCGUUGGAUUAGGGAGUUGGUGGGGUAAUGGCCUGCCAAGCCGACGAUUCAUAGCUGGUUUGAGAGGAUGAUCAGCCACACUGGGACUGAGACACGGCCCAGACUCGUACGGGAGGCAGCAGAGGGGAAUCUUAGACAAGGGGGGCAACCCUGAUAUAGCCAUGCCGGGUGAGUGAUGAAGGCCUUAGGGUUGUAAAGCUCUUUCAGCUGAGAAGAUAAUGACGGUACCAGCAGAAGAAGCCCCGGCUAACUACGUG